rnacentral:rRNA from 1 species
AGGCACGCAGAAAUGACGUGCCCGCGCCGUGCUUCGCACGGAAAUUUAAAUAUUUAAACAUUUAAACUUCCGCGCGGAGCGCGGCGGGCAACAACAAUGCCUAAAAAGUAACGGAGGAGUCUAUUAAGGUCGGCUAGGCGCGAAUGGAAACCGUGCCGAUAGUGUAAGGGCACAAGCCGGCUUCACUGCGAGGCGUACAUGCCAAGCAGAUGCGAAAGCAGAGCCUAGUGAACCGACGGUUCGCUUUAGAAGCGGCCGAAGAUUAACGGAUAAAAGCUACUCUAGGGAUAACAGGCUGGUACCGCCCAAGAGUCAAUGAGGCUCCCUCUGGCGGCAACGUCAGAGUAAACUGUGACUCAAAUCGGUGAAAUCCAGCGUUCGCAAUUUGCAAUUUCUAAUUCCCAAUUUCGAAUUAGUAGUUGAUAAUUCGUAAUUGCGUCAGCUGGACAAUACCGAGGGUAAGAGAACUUGAAAUUUGUUAUAUGGAAACAAAACGCGCACAACGCGCUCGUGUGCUACCUCUCGACCAGAGGCAGCGUGAGAUCGUUAUCGGAUCUCUCCUAGGAGACGGACAUUUGGCACGGACAACGCGAGGAUAUGCGUUCCGGGUCAAUCACGGGAUAGGACAGCGUGAGUAUGUUAAUUGGAAGUAUCAGGAGCUCGAGUCGUUUACGAACUCGAGGCCGAAUACAUGUGAUCGAUCGUACUAUUUUCGCACCGUAUCUCACCCGUACUUCGACGAGUUGCGUCGUGUGUUCUAUGUUGGCAAUCGAAAAAUAAUUCCAGAAAUGCUUGAGGGCUGGUUGACGCCACUCGUGUUCGCCGUGUGGUUUAUGGACGACGGCACGCGAGACGGAAAACAAGUUCGACUGAAUACGCAAUGCUUCAGAAGAGAAGAGCACGAACUGCUCGUGUUUCUUUUACAAGCUAAACUCGGGAUAACGGCGACAAUCAAUCGAGAUAAAGCCCAGUACCGUUUGCGCGUGUGCGAGAAAAGCAUGCCGCGCUUUCGAGCACUGGUGUCCCCGUUGAUUAUUCCGAGCAUGCGCUACAAGUUCUCCCCGUAACGACUUCCGCAUUUCACUGCGGGGACUGCGGGCUUAAAAAGCCGCAGUAAAACGUCACCGUCCCGAAAGGGACGAAGGUAUAGUCUACCUCAUGAGUAAUCAUGAAGUGCCAUAUCGCCGGCGGUGUUCGGCACCUCGAUGUCGGCUCACCUCAUCCCGGGGCUGGAGAAAACAGACCUUCUCUCCUUCGCGGAAACGCGAGGGUAAUAAACGAGCUCAAAACGGUGAAGGCCUUGAGUUAAAGGUUAACGCCGUAGGAAGCCCACUAGUAAUUAGUUCCUAGUAACUGGUAAUUAGUGUGGCCCUCUAACGACUGAAUCCCGCAAAAUGCGGGAUGAGAUAGAACCAUCGCCACGGGUUCUAUAAUACGGCUCGCACCUACGGUCCGUCUCAGAGGCGGACUACGGUGAAGGCAUAGUCUGAUAUCCGUAGUAAUACGGGCAAACACAAACUGAGGUCCCAAGGGUAUAGCUGUUCGCUAUUUAAAGAGGUACGCGAGCUGGGUUCAGACCGUCCAGGACGUGAAUUAUGAAUGAAGAAUCAUGAGUCAUGGAUUGGACAGUCUGAACCCGCAUCGAAACUUUUCGUCUAUGAAAAAUGAAAAAGGCCUAAACGCACUAUACAGUGCGUCGGCCAAGGAACCCCACUAUCGCUAAAGCUAUGGUGGGCGAGACCAAUCAUAUCACGGCGGUCGCCCGCAGUAAUGCGGGACGAAGAAGCUGACUAUAUCGGUGGAACCCUGUUUUACACAGGACAACACCGAGGGAAGUCCGCGUGACCCCGUAGAGACUACAUGUCAGCCCUCCGAUUUUAUCGGAGAAAGGUAUAGUCCAAUGCACACAGUAAUGUGUGGAAACAUGCGUGAGACAGGUUGGUCUCCUAUCUGCUGCAGGCGUUGAUUCUUGAGGGGAGUCGUUCCUAGUACGAGAGGACCGGAAUGAACGAACCUCUGGUCUAUCGGCUGUCCCGCCAGGGGCACCGCCGAGUAGCUAUGUUCGGAAUGGAUAACCGCUGAAAGCAUCUAAGCGGGAAGCCAAUCCCAAGAUGAGGAAUCGCGUCGCCGCAUCACACGGAGUGUGAUGCGGACAUAUCGAUAUUUCGAUAUAUCGAAAUUUCCGCAUCGCGCUUCGCGCGAUGCGGCGGCAUCGGCCCGUGGGAGAUGACCACGUUGAUAGGCACCAGGUGUACGCGCAGUAAUGCGUUUAGCCGAGGUGUACUAAUCCGCCGA